GUUUGCGUGGGGCGGCGUGGACGGGAAGUACCCCACAACCAUGAGACCUUCCAGAGACAAUAGCGUGGGGCCACCAGCCAAAAGAGGAAGAAAGUGAGGGGCCUCCUGGGGAAUAGAGGAGUCAGAGAGGGCAAUGUUCAGACUAAAGACAGCUGAGAGACGCUGGACACCUUACUCGUGACCAGAUUUGAGUCGGGAACACCCAGCGUCCAACAGCUGCUUCCUCAGAAGCCUAGCGCUACCCUUUCUCAGUUUGAGUUUCAAUCUCAGAAAAGAAGAUCAAAACGACAGGCUCCAGGAACAAACAUUGCGCUGCCUCCUUUGUUUUGGAGGAAAGACAGGGUGUGAAGUUUUCAGUCAUUUUUGUCGAGGAACCCAGAUCAAAAGGGACCUACAGAGGGGCCAGGUCACAUGAGUGCAGGGUAGAGGCACUUGAACAGCGGAGCAUCUGGUCCCUGCCUGCCUCUGACUCAUCUGUUACCACAACCAAGAUGUUACCAGAGCUCCUGUGUUGCCUCCAUAUUCAAAGGCAUAAGAAUUCCGGGAUGCAAGGGGAUUGCUGCCUCCCAACGUAUGCAAAGUCGGUGAUAAACGUAUAGAAACUAAUUUCCAGUUUUUGCGCUCCUCCUGCAUCCAGCACUAAUUUCCAAGGUGCUUCCCAUCUGACGCUUAACAUCUGACUCGGUCAAACGCUUUCAUCACCACUUUCUGUAGAACGCUUCGAUUUUCUCAUUAAAAUAAUGCAUACUCAGCUCGCUGGGUGAAAACAUUACUAGGAACAUGUAAGGG
rnacentral:lncRNA from 1 species